GACAUGCUGUCAAUUGCUGUGGUGUUGUUGUUGUGGGUAAGCGACAGCCUUUGAGCACAAGAGGGCGCCUGAGCUCCAUGAAAUAAAGAAAUUUGGAAUUACACUGUUUGAACAAGCUAAAGAUUUAUUUUUGGUGCUUUUGCUGUAAUCCUCCUCCACCCGACAAAGCAAAAGCCAAGUGCCCUUGUGACUGAAUGCUGGGAGCAGAUAUUACUGCUAUUUUUGAGUGAUUCAUAAAUAGGUUGCUUGCCUGCUAUUGCUCUGUCCGCCUCAGUCCAUGUAUGUCUGUGUGGUGUGUCAGGUUUAAACUGAGUUAAAUAUUCCCUCUUCCCGGGAAAAUGUAAUUCUGGUUGCAUUCAUUCCAUACAUUCAAAGCACUAGGAUACCACUUUAAGCCGUCGUGGGUUCCCGCAAAGAAUCCUGGGAGAUGUAGUUUAUUAAGGGUGCUGGGAGUUGUUAGGGUGCUUCAGAGAGCUACAAUUCGCAGAGUUGCCUCUCUGGGAAUUGUAACUUUGUGAGGGGAAGGGGGGGGUCCAUUAAUCUGGGUCCACCCCAGAUGUCUCAUUAAAUGCACCUUUGAUUUUUAAUAUGCAGAUUUUUUUAAAGGCAAAUGGUGGUGUAAUAAUAUCCUAUUCCUAAUUUGUUUUAACUGUUUUAAAAACUGAAUUUUAAGUUGCUGAGCUCACCCUGGGACCUGCUGGGGUAAAGCAAGUCAUACUACUACUAUAUGUAGUAUAAACACUGACAACUGGGAAACACUUGCCUGCGAGUGCUCCAGUUGGAGAACAGCCUUUACCAAAGGUGUCAUGGGCUUAGAAGACACUCGAACUCAGGACGCAAGGGAGAAACGUGCUAAGAGGAAGGCACACUUGGCAAAUCCACACUGUGAUCAACUCCCGCCUGGAAACCAAUGUCCCCACUGUGGAAGGACGUGUGGAUCCAGAACUGGCCUCCACAGUCACUUACGGACUCAUUGUUAAGACUGUGUUUAUUGAAGACAAUCUUACUUGGCUAUGAGGGAUCGCCAAAGAAGAGAAGACUACUACUAUAGCAAUGAGGAAAAAGUAAAAGGCCAUUCACAGGGAAACCAAAAUGCUUGUUUACAAAGCUAUUGUACUACCAACCUUACUGCAUGCUUGUGACACAUGGACCACUUAUAAACGCCAUCUCCAACUCCUUGAAAGAUUCCAUCAAUGCUGUCUGGAAAAAUUUACAAAUCACUUGGGAAGACAGGCAGCCUAAAAGCAGUGUACUGGAAGAAGCAAAGAUCACCAGUGUCAAUGAUUCUUCAACAUCAGCUUCAUUGGACUGUUCAUGUUGUUCGGAUGCCUGAUUAUCGUCUUCCAAAGCAACUACUCUAUUGCAAACUUAAAAAUGGAAAGCGUAAUGCUGGUGGUCAACAAAAGAGGUUUAAAGACUCUCUCAAGGCAAAUCUAAAAAAAUGUAGUAUAAACACCCACAACUCGGAAACACUGGCCUGCGAGUGCUCCAGCUGGAGAACAGCCUUUACCAAAGAUGUCAUGGGCUUUGAAGACACUCGAACUCGGGACGCAAGGGAGAAACGUGCUAAGAUGAAAGCAUGCUUAGCAAAUCCACACCUUGAUCAACUCGCGCCCAGAAACCUAUGUCCCCACUGUGAAAGGACGUGUGGAUCCAGAAUUGGCCUCCACAGUCACUUACAGACCCACUGUUAAGACAGUGUUCAUGGAAGACAAUCUUAUGAGUAAUUGCCAAAGAAGAAGAAUAGCAAUGAGAGCUAAUAAUGCAGUGGUUAGAUUGCUGGACUAGGACUUGGGAACCUGGGUUCGAAUCCUCAUCCAUGAAGCUCGCUGGCUGGCCUCUCAGCCAAAAGUACCUCACAGGGCUGUUGUGGAGAUUGCUUUACUUAUUGAGUUUACUUAUAUGCCGCUUUCCCACAAUGAGCUGUACCCAAAGCAGCUUUCUGCAAAAUUUCAAGAUGUCCAAAUACAAAUAUACAAAAUGCACAGCAGGCCACUACAUUAAAAAAUCAGAAAUUUGACAAACACAGAAUAAAUUCAAUAUUGGAGGGGGUGGAGGCGGAACCACCAUUAUAGGCUUAACUACCUAAAUUCAAAGCAAAACAAAACAAAAGAGGGAGAACCUGAGAACCUGGAAGAAAAAGUUGGGAUAUAAAUGCAAUAAAGAAAGAAGAAAGGCAAGGGAAAGGGGAACUACAGAGAGAGUAAAUCUUGUUAAUUAUCAGCCCUGCAGCUGAUACACUUUGCAUUUAAAAAGAAAAAAAGCCUGUGUUGUAAAUGCAAAGGGACAUCAGAAUCCCAUUUGGCCCUGAGCUAGCAGGAAUCUGACUCAAGAUUAGAGAGUCUUUCAAAAUGUUAAAUCAUUGGCACUGAGGCUAAGCAAGGAACCGGGGUCCCAGUGCAGUCUUUAUUCAGGAGACACCCCGUUGAGUUAAAUGGGCUUACUGCCGGGCAAGGUGGUCAAGGAUAUUGCAGCCUGAAACAUCUUUUAAAUGGUUAGCUAUACUACCAGAGGUUGCUGCCAUUGUAAGGGGGGUUAGAGGCAUCCCAGGCAACCUUCCCAAAUAUUUCCAAGUGUUUUGGAUCUCCGGUUCCCAUCAGCUGCACCCAGUAUGCUCAUACUGGAUGGGACUGGAAGCAAAUCAAGCUGGGGGUGGCUGAAAAACAGCUUACAAAAUCUCCCGUCACAGAAUGCACAUGCCCACACUAAAAUGAUACAAAAGUACAUAUCUGUAGUGCUAUCUGUAGCCGCACUGGCUCCCGGUGGAGUACAGGAUCAGGUUUGAGGUGCUGGUUUUAACCUUUAA